GAUGAACGCUGGCGGCGUGCCUAAUACAUGCAAGUCGAGCGAACAGAUGAGGAGCUUGCUCCUCUGACGUUAGCGGCGGACGGGUGAGUAACACGUGGAUAACCUACCUAUAAGACUGGGAUAACUUCGGGAAACCGGAGCUAAUACCGGAUAAUAUAUUGAACCGCAUGGUUCAAUAGUGAAAUACGGUUUUGCUGUCACUUAUAGAUGGAUCCGCGCCGCAUUAGCUAGUUGGUAAGGUAACGGCUUACCAAGGCAACGAUGCGUAGCCGACCUGAGAGAGUGAUCGGCCACACUGGAACUGAGACACGGGCCAGACUCCUACGGGAGGCAGCAGUAGGGAAUCUUCCGCAAUGGGCGAAAGCCUGACGGAGCAACGCCGCGUGAGUGAUGAAGGUCUUCGGAUCGUAAAACUCUGUUAUUAGGGAAGAACAAAUGUGUAAGUAACUAUGCACGUCGUGACGGUACCUAAUCAGAAAGCCACGGCUAACUACGUG
rnacentral:rRNA from 1 species